GUUGAACGCUGACAGAAUGCUUAACACAUCAGCAAUGGAUUGGUGGCGGACGGGUGAGUAACGCGUAAAGAACUUGCACCACCGGUAGGGGCAACAUUUGGAAAGGAAUGCUAAUACCUAAUCCUGUGAGAGAGCUUUGCGUCCCAUUAGCUAGUUGGAGAGGUAACGGCUCACCAAGGCGAUGAUGGGUAGCCGGCCUGAGAGGGUGAUCGGCCACAAGGGGACUGGGACACGGCCCUUAGUCCUACGGGAGGCAGCAGUGGGGAAUAUUGGACAAUGGACCAAAGUAUGAUCCAGGAAUUCUGUGUGCACGAUAAAGUUGUCGGAAUGUAAAGUGCUUUGAGUUUGGAAGCGGUACCAACAGAAGAAGUAACGGCUAACUACGUGCCAGCCGCCGCGGUAAUAC
rnacentral:rRNA from 1 species